rnacentral:rRNA from 1 species
UACGAGGGGUGCAAGCGUUGUCCGGAUUUAUUGGGCGUAAAGCGUUUCUAAAGGCGUUUCAUAAAGUCGUACUUCAAAGACCACGGCUCAACCAUGGGAAGGGGUACGAUACUUAUGGAAUUGAAAUCUUUCGGGGUUACUGGAACUAUCGGUGUAGGGGUGAAAUCCGUUGAUAUCGAUAGGAACUCCAAGGGCGAAGGCAGGUAACUAGGAAGUUUUUGACGCUGAUGAACGAAAGCUAGGGG